rnacentral:rRNA from 1 species
CACGUAGGCGGUUUAGCAAGUUGGGGGUGUAAGCUCUAGGCUUAACCUAGAAAUUGCCUCCAAAACUACUUCACUUGAGUAUUAGAGGGGAAGCUGGAAUUCACGGUGUAGCGGUGAAAUGCGUAGAUAUCGUGGAGAACACCCGUGGCGAAGGCGGGCUUCUGGCUAAUUACUGACGCUGAGGUGCGAAAGCUAGGGGAGCGAAG